CUCAACAAGAUUAGAUGCAUAAAUGGCAGAGUAGAUGAUAGGAGCAGAGUUAGGCAGCUGAACUUCACAAGUGAUCAUUUGAGAUGAUUGAGAGAUCACUGUAACUUUAACUGGAUCCUUCCAUAUAAGCACAAUCCGCCCAUCAUCAUCUGCCAGGUGGUUAGAUAGAUAAUGCCAAUCCUUACAUAGAAUAGUCAUCAACCGGGACAGAGAAAGUUCCUUAAUAUGUGUUUCCAAUAGGGCACCAAAAAUAGGUUUAUUUAAGAAAAGUCAAUCCGUAAAUAUCCGAUGCUUCUCCGGGUCAUUUAAACCACGAAGGUUCCAAAAAAAGAGUUUAACACUCAUCAUGAAGAAAAAGUGGGGUCUCCAGUAGACUGGAGAGAACUAUCCGCUACUAGUAAAGGCACUUUUUCCAUCGGCGGCUGAGGAUCCUUAGGAGGAGAGUAAAGUAGACAGUUCCUAAUGACAUGACCGAGCUCUUGGCAGUGGGAACACUUCGGGGGCAGCCAAGGAUAAUCCACUAGUACCUCCACGACUUCGCCACUCUGCCUUUCAAACUCAACUACUUUCGGAAGAGGCACAGUGAGAUCCACCUCAACCUUUACAUGAGAUAAGGUCAAGAGGAACUCCGGUCAGGUGAGCCCAGAUCUUGAUCGAGUUGAGUGGAGGGGUUUUUGAAGAAUGGGCAGUAGACCAUUGAGCAGUAUGGAACAUCGAGUCCCCAACAUACCAAAUAUUUUUUUCCAGGAUUUUUUGUCUGAGGUGGAGGGCGCCCAUUGAAGUAACAGAUGAUGAAGUCUCUGUGAAGUUCAGCACCUUUUUCAAAAACGGAGUCUGGAAUAAGCACACGGGGACGACCUGUUUCAGAGAUCGUCACAGGUGCAAGUCGUUGAAGAGACUUAUCUCCCCUCAGACGGAGAGAUUCAACUAGUGACGGUUCUAUGGUUUUGGGAGGUAGUGGUGGUUGGGAGGGAGAGGGUAGGGCUUGCGUAGUAGAAGGUAGGGGAAUGGGAUUUGCAGGAAGAGCUGGCGGAGAAGGGGUUAGGGAAAUCGGAUUUCCAGAAGCUCGAUUGGAAAUCAAAGGAGAGUUAUGGUUAGGUUGAAUGGUUAUGAAUUGAGGGUGGAUGGACGCGGGAGAUGGGUGGACAGUCUCAUCUUGCAGAGCAGAUAAGGAAGUUGUUGAGGCUGAAACAAAAGUUGGGUUAGGGUUUCCUGUAGCAGGAACAGUAAUUUGGGCAUUGAUCUCAGCUAGAGAACCAAACUGAGUAGUAGGAGAAGCCCCUGGCAUUACUGAAGUUGAAGGGGAGCUUUGGGCAUUAGUCAUAACUGAAUUAGUCGGAGAAGAAGUUAAGAGAUUUCUGCGACAUUCAGAGCGAGUAGGGGGGGGAGUAGAGUCGAGAGGCGGGAAGAGGUGAGGGGAAAAAGGAGGGAUGGGAUCAGGAGGGUCAGGGGGAAAUGGAAGGGGUAGGUGAGCAUCUUCGGAGGCUGAAGACGGUGGUUGCGCGGCGGAAGAGCGGCCGGGAAGGGCCCAACGGGACUGCAUAGGGAAGCGUGUCAGAGAGAAACUGAAAGCGCUUUUGCAAAAGAGUUUGUUCUAUGUGCUGUUUUGUGCAAACUUCAGAUCUUUGUGUUUUAACUCUCUCUGGCUUCUGUUGUGUCAUGUGUGUUGUAAGUGCGUAAUCAGAGAAAAAAACACCAUAUGAUUAUAUC